GAAUUGAAUAACUUUGACUUCCUUGAAGGAUGAGAAUACGGCCUUGAUCUGCAUGUUACUAGUAUAAUUAAAAUGGCAAGGAAAAUCCACAGGGAGGUGAACAUUAUAAUUUGAAUUUCUGGUAAAUGAUUAUGUUAAAGCCGAACAGCAUAAAAUCUAUUGAAUAAACUAAACUAAAGACUUAACAAUGACCAACCCUUAAAACUAAAUGAAACCAAAUUAAAACACAAAUUCAAAGAGCACCAGGAAAAGUGGAAAAUUAUCAUCCCAGUUUUUGAGAAGGAUGAGGUUACUCUACUUUCUUUCACCAAUUGCCAAUUCUCAAAAGACUCCUCCACUAUCCCCACAUGCUAUCUCAAAAUUAUACAAUUUUGCAAGUUAAGGCCAAAUUUUAAGGAUCAUAUGAAAAUUCAGAGUACUGGUAAAUUCCAGAAGAAAAGGUUAUGCAAAAAAAUAGACCAAUAAAUGGAUCAUUAAAAAUGCAUCACUCUUCCAGGGGAAACCAAGAAGAAAUCAUACUACAAAAUCAGGUAAGAGGGAAGCUCAUAAUCUUGGCCUUAGAAAAUGCAUGAGAUUCAUAUCUCAGGAUCAUUAGAAACCUCUCCGUAGGCAGAAUAUCAAAACUAUUUCACCAAGUCAGAAGUCUCAGCAUGGCGUUGUCAUUCAUAGGUUUUAACCAAAAACAUUUACAGCUCAGGAUAACUAAGCUCCUCUGCCAAGGAAAUACCAAAACGCAUUCACCAUGCCAGGAAUUUAAGCCCCCUGAUAUUCUUCCAAUAAUAGAUUUGACAAAACCACUAAAAACCACACCAUGCCACUGUGGAAACCAGUGUUUUUAUCUCUUAUAUUUCAGAAAUUUGUAUGUGGUAAUAAAACAAUUACAGCCACACAAAUAAACUCAAAAUAAUAGCAUAUUUCUGUUCAAGAUAUGCUUGGAAACCUUGGCUAUAGAAAACAGUCAUUAUACAACUUAACAGCAGCCGCAUAACAACAUUUGCAACUCCCGCUACGUUUCACUCUAUUUCAUUAUGGGGAUUUUAAAUUCACAACCAAAACCAUUAUAGGCCAUUUCUUUGCUGAUUAUGGUCAUUAAGAGACCAAUAUUUUUGCCUUCUGUUGGGAAAACCAACAUUCUUACCUCUCCAGCUCACAUAACAAGUUCUCAAGAGGACUUUUGCAGCUGCUUUGCAUUAUUUCAAGUGUCUUUUCAAGUCAAAACUUUAUUUUCCACUAGAUUUCUCAUUAGAUCUUAACAUUCCUUGACUUGGCUCAAAAUUUAUUAGCUAAAUAAGCUACCUUUUUUUUCUUAUUGGUUUCGUCGUAAAUUUGUAUCCAACUGAGUUAUUUUAGAUGUUAAAAGUACCAACAAGUUGCAUUUUUCAGUUUAUGCUAGCUAUACUAUUUGUUUGAGUCAUCUUGCUAAUUUAUUAGUAAUGCUGCCUGAGACAUUACUCUUUUGCCACUGACACCCCAAUUUAAUGACCACAGCUGGGAUUGCAAUAUGAAACCAUGUUGGAAACAUGACAACCACUGGGGCAGUGGGCCUUUACCAAACAAUAUGCACAUCAAGAAAUUAGGUAGAUAAAGGCAAUCCAAUAGAACAUGAUACCUUUCAUUCUUUAAGGAACUGGAGAAUAUCUUGAUGACUAUGCAGAGAAAAAACAAUGGUGCAGUAAAAUGAAUAUUAUUAGGCGGCACAGGAUCUCAAUGACGGGCUCCAUCCUUACAGUAAAAUCCCAAACAACUAAACAUCAAAUGCAUACCUAAUCCACUAUCAUAACCCAGCACUCAAAUACUCCAAGUUACUAAAGAGUCAAAGCACUCAGGUAUGAUACUUUAUUUAAAACAUACACACACACACACAAAAACCUUCACUUUAAUUGUUUCCUUAAUUUGCUAGUUAGUUUCUAUUGAUAUAGGCCCCACCUAAUAAAGACAAAGAAAUUCAUCAAAGUUCCUGAGAUAAAGCUGAGUAACUAUGGUAUGAGAAAGCAUCUUGGAAGAACCUAUUAGGAAUCGAAAUAUGUGAUAGUUGAUAAUAGAUUAAGCUUGUAGGAAAUUUUCAAAUACCACUUCACUUGCAUUGUUUCCUUAAUUUGCUUGUUAGUUUCUAUUGAUAUAAGCCCCAUCUAUUAAAGACAAAGAAAUUCAUCAAAAUUUCACUUGCAUUGUUUCCUUAAUUUGCUUGUUAGUUUCUAUUGAUAUAAGCCCCAUCUAUUAAAGACAAAGAAAUUCAUCAAAAUUCCUAAGAUAGAUAAUAGGUUUAGUAAGCAUGGCAC
rnacentral:misc_RNA from 1 species